rnacentral:rRNA from 1 species
UACGUAGGGGGCGAGCGUUGUCCGGAAUCAUUGGGCGUAAAGCGCGUGUAGGCGGUUCGGUAAGUCCGCUGUGAAAGUCGGGGGCUCAACCCUCGAAAGCCGGUGGAUACUGUCGGGCUUGAGUACGGAAGAGGCGAGUGGAAUUCCUGGUGUAGCGGUGAAAUGCGCAGAUAUCAGGAGGAACACCGAUGGCGAAGGCAGGUCUCUGGGCCAUUACUGACACUGAGAAGCGAAAGCAUGGGGAGCGAACAGG